CCUAUUUUUAUGUUUUUAUGUUUAAUUUGUUUUGGUAGGAUUAUCUACAAGGUGAUCCGAGUAAGGCCAAGACGAUGAUGGGAUGGGAACCCAAGAUCCUUUUCAAGGAUCUAGUGGUUGAGAUGGUAACAUCAGACAUUGAAUUGAUGAAGAAGAACCCCACAGCCUAGUCCUUAGGAUGUAUCAAACCAUCAAACAGACCAAACCAAACAGUGUGUGAGUGAGUGUUCUGAACAACCAGGAGUGCCUUGCAAAUAAAGUAACCCAACAAAGUUUGAUUAGUUGAAAGUUGAGAGAUGGAAAACACACCUUAUACCUUGUGUCCCAUCAAAUGGUCCCAUGAGCCAUGUUGACUGCGACAGAAACAGACUCUGGAAGUUGGACAUGCUUUCAUCUUCGUAUGUGUUUUAUUGGGGGGGGGUUUGGUGUAGAAAACUGUGGCCUUAAUUUAUUCAUGAUAUUACCGUAAAUUACUGGCAUUUAUCUACAUUGCUUAAGCACGCACACACACAAAUUUCAAACCUGAAGAUGUUCUUCAAUUUGACGUUUUGGUUUUGUAUCUAUUUUGUAUCGGUUCCACCAAUGAAUAGUUUUAUUGAUUGGUUUUUUUUUAAUCGUAAUUAAGUUCUAUUCUUAAGUUCAAAUCAAACAUUCCAAUGUGCCCUUGGCCCAAGAUACAUUUUGAUUUUCUUUUCAUUUUGUUUCAUUUUGUUGCAUGACGUUUCAUAUGGGUAUUUUACCCAAUUUAUUCAUGAUUUUUGGAAAAAUAAUCCUUUUAUCACUUGGUUGCAGGGUAUUUGAGCAAAACAUAAAUGUACUAAUGCAAGUCUUCCAUUUUGUGCAUUCCUUCAGUUUUUUUUUUUUCUGGCAAUCAGG